CACGUAGUUAGCCGGUGCUUUUUCUGCAGGUACCGUCACUUUCGCUUCUUCCCUACUAAAAGAGGUUUACAAACCCGAAGGCCGUCGUCCCUCACGCGGCGUUGCUGCAUCAGGCUUUCGCCCAUUGUGCAAUAUUACCCCACUGCUGCCUCCCGUAGGGGUCUGGGCCGUGUCUCAGUCCCAGUGUGGCCGGUCACCCUCUCAGGCCGGCUACCCGUCGUCGGCUUGGUGAGCCGUUACCUCACCAACUACCUGAUAGGCCGCGAGUCCAUCCUUGACCGAAGUUCUUUCCAGCUCCUGGAGAUGCCUCCGUAAGCUCGUAUCCGGUAUUAGACGUCGUUUCCAACGCUUAUCCCAGAGUCAAGGGCAGGUUACUCACGUGUUACUCACCCGUUCGCCACUGAUCCAGAAGGAGCAAGCUCCCUCUUUCACCGUUCGACUUGCAUGUGUUAAGCACGCGCCAGCGUUCAUCCUGAGCCAGGAUCAAACUC
rnacentral:rRNA from 1 species